GCGAACGCUGGCGGCAGGCCUAACACAUGCAAGUCGAGCGAACCUUUCGGGGUUAGUGGCGGACGGGUGAGUAACACGUGGGAACGUGCCUUUAGGUUCGGAAUAACUCAGGGAAACUUGUGCUAAUACCGAAUGUGCCCUUCGGGGGAAAGAUUUAUCGCCUUUAGAGCGGCCCGCGUCUGAUUAGCUAGUUGGUUGAGGUAAUGGCUCACCAAGGCGACGAUCAGUAGCUGGUCUGAGAGGAUGAUCAGCCACAUUGGGACUGAGACACGGCCCAAACUCCUACGGGAGGCAGCAGUGGGGAAUCUUGCGCAAUGGGCGAAAGCCUGACGCAGCCAUGCCGCGUGAAUGAUGAAGGUCUUAGGAUUGUAAAAUUCUUUCACCGGGGACGAUAAUGACGGUACCCGGAGAAGAAGCCCCGGCUAACUUCGUG
rnacentral:rRNA from 1 species